AUUAAGUGAACCACAGUGUAGUUUGUACUCAAUGUUAUAUAAAUAAGAUCUUUAGCUUUCAUUUCCUUUCAAAUUCUAUAAAGCUUCUCAACGCUCCCCCAAGAUUCUUCUAGACCAACGUUUUAAAAGUGCUUUCAUUUUUUUGGUUUCUGAUACCAUAAAAAUCAAGCAACCUCACACCAUAUUUCUUUUUCUCUCUCUCUCUCGUUUGUCCAUUCUUCAUUUACCAAAAUCAUAUAAAGUACUACAGUUCAUAUGCUAAGGUUCAAGGGUAUUAUUAUACAAGAGUUUCUGCUAGAACAUUAAAUAAAAGAUAUAAGGUAUUGUUCGAGUUGGUUUUCCUCUAAAAAUUUUAAGUGCAAUCAAAGGUUUCUCCACAUUCGAGACCAAGGAGUCUAGAAUGCCGGUGGCGAGUGGAACUUUGGGUGCUUGUGUGUGUGAACUCGCUGAGGACCAUAUAACUGCAGGCAGUCUAGGGCGCUCUGUUUAUUUAUUUACGUUAUUUAACUUAUGUCGCAAUUAUUUUAGUUAUUAAUUAUUAUGUCUUUUGUACGAAAACUGGUCAAUUGUGAACAUUUUCAGGUAUUAAAUAAAAAUGCGACAUUAUUUUUUUCCGCGUUUAACACUUGUAAAUAAAAUUAAUAUUUUUUAUAAAAGUACGGGCGUUACACUAUAUUGCAAAAAUAGAUUUUCUACUUUUUAGUGUUGGUUUUAAACUGAAAUCUAUACUUAUAAGUAAGUUUAUAAAAUUGAUAUUUAUUUCACAGUCACAAAAAAUUAAAAUUUAAG